rnacentral:rRNA from 1 species
UAUACAUGCAAGUCGAGCGCGGGAAGCAAGCAGAUCUCCUUCGGGAGUGACGCUUGUGGAACGAGCGGCGGACGGGUGAGUAACACGUGGGCAACCUACCUGUAAGACUGGGAUAACUCCGGGAAACCGGGGCUAAUACCGGAUGAAACAAAGCGUCGCAUGACGCAAUGUUAAAAGGCGGCAUAUGCUGUCACUUACAGAUGGGCCCGCGGCGCAUUAGCUAGUUGGUGAGGUAAAGGCUCACCAAGGCAACGAUGCGUAGCCGACCUGAGAGGGUGAUCGGCCACACUGGGACUGAGACACGGCCCAGACUCCUACGGGAGGCAGCAGUAGGGAAUCUUCCGCAAUGGACGAAAGUCUGACGGAGCAACGCCGCGUGAGUGAUGAAGGUUUUCGGAUCGUAAAACUCUGUUGUUAGGGAAGAACAAGUGCCAUUCGAAUAGGUUGGCACCUUGACGGUACCUAACCAGAAAGCCCCGGCUAACUACGUGCCAGCAGCCGCGGUAAUACGUAGGGGGCAAGCGUUGUCCGGAAUUAUUGGGCGUAAAGCGCGCGCAGGCGGUCCUUUAAGUCUGAUGUGAAAGCCCACGGCUUAACCGUGGAGGGCCAUUGGAAACUGGAGGACUUGAGUACAGAAGAGGAGAGUGGAAUUCCACGUGUAGCGGUGAAAUGCGUAGAGAUGUGGAGGAACACCAGUGGCGAAGGCGACUCUCUGGUCUGUAACUGACGCUGAGGUGCGAAAGCGUGGGUAGCGAACAGGAUUAGAUACCCUGGUAGUCCACGCCGUAAACGAUGAGUGCUAGGUGUUAGGGGGUUUCCGCCCCUUAGUGCUGAAGUUAACGCAUUAAGCACUCCGCCUGGGGAGUACGGCCGCAAGGCUGAAACUCAAAAGAAUUGACGGGGACCCGCACAAGCGGUGGAGCAUGUGGUUUAAUUCGAAGCAACGCGAAGAACCUUACCAGGUCUUGACAUCCUCUGACACCCCUAGAGAUAGGGCAUUCCCUUCGGGGACAAAGUGACAGGUGGUGCAUGGUUGUCGUCAGCUCCGGUCCUGGAAUGUUGGGUUAAGUCCCGCAACGAGCGCAACCCUUGAUCUUAAUUGCCAGCAUUUAGUUGGGCACUCUAAGGUGACUGCCGGUGACAAACCGGAGG